rnacentral:rRNA from 1 species
CCCUUAGAUGUUCUGGGCAGCACGCGCGCUACAAUCGUCUUCGCAAACGGAUGCAUUCUCGAAGGAGAAUGCCAAUCUUGGAAUCUAUGCCUUGGUCGGGACAGUUGCUUGCAAUUUUUCGACUCGAACCAGGAAUUCCUUGUAAUCGUGAUUCAUCACAUCACGAUGAAUACGUCCCUGCCCUUUGUACACACCGCCCGUCGCUCCUACCGAUCGAAGAGUUAGGUGAAUUGUUUUGAUCGAUAAGAUUUGACUAUGGUCAACUCUCGUUGUGAAAUUCUGUGAAUCUGACUGUUUAGAGGAAGGAAAAGUCGUAACA